ACACUGCUGAGGAGUCCCAUACUAGGACGAAACGGCCGUCCAGUAC
rfam:Schistosoma curassoni strain Dakar, Senegal genome assembly, scaffold: SCTD_contig0017621